rnacentral:rRNA from 1 species
UAAAUAGAAACUUGGACCGAUUCGGGCGGAAUGGCGCGGACUCUGGCGGCGCGUCGCUUCGGCGGCGUGUCCGUCCGGGCACCGGCCGUCCGCUCGUCCUUGGACUACUUCUUAGAGGGACUGCCGGUGUUGCAACCGGAGGAAGUUUGAGGCAAUAACAGGUCUGUGAUGCCCUUAGAUGUUCUGGGCCGCACGCGCGCUACACUGACGGAGCCAGCGAGUACUGGCGCACGCCAACCUUGGCCGAAAGG